rnacentral:rRNA from 1 species
CGCGUAGGCGGUCUUGUCGGUCAGAUGUGAAAGCCCAGGGCUCAACCCUGGCCGUGCAUUUGAAACAGCAAGACUUGAGUACGGGAGAGGAAAGCGGAAUUCCUGGUGUAGAGGUGAAAUUCGUAGAUAUCAGGAGGAACACCGAUGGCGAAGGCAGCUUUCUGGACCGAUACUGACGCUGAGGCGCGAAGGCGUGGGUAGCGAACAGGAUUAGAUACCCUGGUAGUC